GCCACUGUGCUUGAGGUAUCCCUCGCAGGAAACGAGAUUGACCUUCCUUAUUACCUGUUUGUUCCGCAAUAACACCCAACAAAGAUGAAGUUUGUUGCCGUGCUGCUCAUGGCAAUCUUCUUGACCAUCUUAAGCUCUGUAGCAGGGAAGAAGGCACUUUCUUCAAGAACAAGGCACACCGGCAUUCGGAUGAAGAGAUCGUGCCCGUUCUGCUCAAGAGGGAAUUUUGCUGCCACCCUCGCCACCUUUCUCGAUCCUACAAAAGACAAAGCUCCGAUUGACAAAAUUGGCCCUCACGGCUUCGGCCGAAGGAAGAGAAGGUCUCUCCCUCAAGAGAGAAAUCUUCUGGCACUGGUAGCUGGAAGACGGGUGGCAGGUUGAUAAGCAGGAACACAGCUGGCAGCUUUGCUCUGGAGAUCACACCAAGCUCUACACCUCCGCACUCAAAAGAUAAAAUAAAAAUAUUGAUGGCGA